UAUAAGACAGUACGAAGCAGAGCAAUGCCGAGGUUGUGAGUUUGAGCCUCACCUGGAGCACAGUUUUAGGAUGCAAGAAACCAAACCAAAGACUAACAUGAAAAACAUAAAUGUCAUUCCAUUUGGAAGAAGAGUUCAGAGUUAAAGCUAAUGUGAAAGAAAGGUGUGGGUUUUGGCUGUCCAUCUUCAGUUGAGGCUGACUGAUAGUUGCUGAUCUUCUAGUAAUGUGAGUGUAUUCAAGCUUCCUAGCCCAUAUCUGUAGUUGAACAUUUUUUUAGUUGGCUUUACCUACAGUGUUUGGUUAUACACCGUUAACUCAGCAGCUCCAGUGGCGCAAUCGGUUAGCGCGCGGUACUUAUAAGACAGUACGAAGCAGAGCAAUGCCGAGGUUGUGAGUUUGAGCCUCACCUGGAGCACAGUUUUAGGAUGCAAGAAACCAAACCAAAGACUAACAUGAAAAACAUAAAUGUCAUUCCAUUUGGAAGAAGAGUUCAGAGUUAAAGCUAAUGUGAAAGAAAGGUGUGGGUUUUGGCUGUCCAUCUUCAGUUGAGGCUGACUGAUAGUUGCUGAUCUUCUAGUAAUGUGAGUGUAUUCAAGCUUCCUAGCCCAUAUCUGUAGUUGAACAUUUUUUUAGUUGGCUUUACCUACAGUGUUUGGUUAUACACCGUUAACUCAGCAGCUCCAGUGGCGCAAUCGGUUAGCGCGCGGUACUUAUAAGACAGUACGAAGCAGAGCAAUGCCGAGGUUGUGAGUUUGAGCCUCACCUGGAGCACAGUUUUAGGAUGCAAGAAACCAAACCAAAGACUAACAUGAAAAACAUAAAUGUCAUUCCAUUUGGAAGAAGAGUUCAGAGUUAAAGCUAAUGUGAAAGAAAGGUGUGGGUUUUGGCUGUCCAUCUUCAGUUGAGGCUGACUGAUAGUUGCUGA